AUGUUAAAAGUUUUUCACACAACCACAAAUGUACUUUCUGCUUCAAGUUAUUCUACCUCAAAAUUGUACUUUCAUCAAAUCUGGAAUGUGAGUUUAUUGCUACAGAAGGAAGCAUCAACAAAGCAUGAAGUUAUUCGAGCAGUGGUUGGAGAGAUGCAAAAAAAGUUUGAUAAGUAUUGGAUGGAAUCAUAUUUGCCAAACUGUAUACUUGUGAUCCUUGAUCCACGAUUUAAACUUUGCUUCAUCGAGUUUCGACUAAAACAAGCUUUUGGUCUAGAUGUAGAAAAACACUUGCUUGCAGUGAAAGGAGCUCUUGACAACCUUUUCGAAGAAUUUUCUUCAUAA
rnacentral:rRNA from 1 species